rnacentral:rRNA from 1 species
CCUGGCUCACGAUGAACGCUAGCUACAGGCUUAACACAUGCAAGUCGAGGGGCAGCAUGGUCUUAGCUUGCUAAGGCCGAUGGCGACCGGCGCACGGGUGAGUAACACGUAUCCAACCUGCCGUCUACUCUUGGACAGCCUUCUGAAAGGAAGAUUAAUACAAGAUGGCAUCAUGAGUCCGCAUGUUCACAUGAUUAAAGGUAUUCCGGUAGACGAUGGGGAUGCGUUCCAUUAGAUAGUAGGCGGGGUAACGGCCCACCUAGUCUUCGAUGGAUAGGGGUUCUGAGAGGAAGGUCCCCCACAUUGGAACUGAGACACGGUCCAAACUCCUACGGGAGGCAGCAGUGAGGAAUAUUGGUCAAUGGGCGAGAGCCUGAACCAGCCAAGUAGCGUGAAGGAUGACUGCCCUAUGGGUUGUAAACUUCUUUUAUAGAGGAAUAAAGUCGGGUAUGGAUACCCGUUUGCAUGUACUUUAUGAAUAAGGAUCGGCUAACUCCGUGCCAGCAGCCGCGGUAAUACGGAGGAUCCGAGCGUUAUCCGGAUUUAUUGGGUUUAAAGGGAGCGUAGAUGGAUGUUUAAGUCAGUUGUGAAAGUUUGCGGCUCAACCGUAAAAUUGCAGUUGAUACUGGAUAUCUUGAGUGCAGUUGAGGCAGGCGGAAUUCGUGGUGUAGCGGUGAAAUGCUUAGAUAUCACGAAGAACUCCGAUUGCGAAGGCAGCCUGCUAAGCUGCAACUGACAUUGAGGCUCGAAAGUGUGGGUAUCAAACAGGAUUAGAUACCCUGGUAGUCCACACGGUAAACGAUGAAUACUCGCUGUUUGCGAUAUACUGCAAGCGGCCAAGCGAAAGCGUUAAGUAUUCCACCUGGGGAGUACGCCGGCAACGGUGAAACUCAAAGGAAUUGACGGGGGCCCGCACAAGCGGAGGAACAUGUGGUUUAAUUCGAUGAUACGCGAGGAACCUUACCCGGGCUUAAAUUGCAGAUGAAUUACGGUGAAAGCCGUAAGCCGCAAGGCAUCUGUGAAGGUGCUGCAUGGUUGUCGUCAGCUCGUGCCGUGAGGUGUCGGCUUAAGUGCCAUAACGAGCGCAACCCUUGUUGUCAGUUACUAACAGGUUCCGCUGAGGACUCUGACAAGACUGCCAUCGUAAGAUGUGAGGAAGGUGGGGAUGACGUCAAAUCAGCACGGCCCUUACGUCCGGGGCUACACACGUGUUACAAUGGGGGGUACAGAGGGCCGCUACCACGCGAGUGGAUGCCAAUCCCCAAAACCUCUCUCAGUUCGGACUGGAGUCUGCAACCCGACUCCACGAAGCUGGAUUCGCUAGUAAUCGCGCAUCAGCCACGGCGCGGUGAAUACGUUCCCGGGCCUUGUACACACCGCCC